GUCUAUGGCCACGCCACCCUGAAUGUGCCUGAUCUCAUCUGAUCUCGGAAGCUUAGUAGGGUCAGGCCUGGUUAGUACUUGGAUGGGAGACCACCUAGGAAUAUUGGGUGCUGUAGGCG
rnacentral:rRNA from 1 species